UACGUAGGGGGCAAGCGUUGUCCGGAUUUAUUGGGCGUAAAGAGCGUGUAGGCGGCUAGAUAGGUCCGUUGUGAAAACUCGAGCUCAACCUCGAGACGCCGGUGGAAACCAUCUAGCUAGAGUCCGGAAGAGGAGAGUGGAAUUCCAGGUGUAGCGGUGAAAUGACGUAGAUAUCUGGAGGAACACCGGUGGCGAAGGCGGCAUCCUGGACCAAUACUGACGCUGAGGAGCGAAAGCCAGGGGAGCAAACGGG
rnacentral:rRNA from 1 species